CCUGUUAUGAGUACAGCUGUACACAUCCGUAAAACCAAAGGAAAAAGAAGAAGCUGUUUAGUUGACUGAAUAUGUUUUUGCACAUUAAAGCUAUUGCAAUUUCCUUGUUACAGAGACAGAGUAAAACUACAACGGGAAGAAAAACUCAAGGCCAGUGAGGACUGGAGAGGGAUGAGGAACAAGUAGCACAUCCACCAGCCCAAAAAUGGCAGGAAAUGAAGAAAGCAGAGGGAAAGACUGAGGCAAAGUCAGCCCAGACUGGGUAGAGACCAGGCAUAUUGUUUCUGCUCUCAGAAUAGAAGAUGCCUCCCAAAUGAGAGAAGAACUGUAUGAGCUAGAAGAGACAGUAUUGUCCAAUGAGCUAAAGCACCUGGACAUGUAAGACUUUGUGCUCUACCACAAGUUUGGAAGUCUCUACAUGCCUCAGAUGCAGCUCAGCCUCUCAGGGAAGCCAAGUGAUGUGUAGGUAUUGGGAUACUGAAUACCAAAGACACCUAAUAAACCUGGUCCCUGACAAUGAAA